rfam:Sus scrofa chromosome 7.
CCAAAGGCUCUUUUCAGAGCCACCUAUACCAUUUCCAGUAAAGAG